rnacentral:lncRNA from 1 species
GGAGAAUCAAGAUGGACAGGUCCAUCCGAGCCCCAGCCUUCCACACCUGCCCCAGCCAGAAGAGCGGUCCCCUCCUGACUUGCUCUGAGGAGGAUGUGAAGUCAGUUUCAGGCCUACAUGGGCUAACCACAGCAAGGUCUUGACCACAAGAUGUGGCCUGAAGGCCGAGUGGCAGAGCUGGUCCCCACCUAGACUUUUGGGCAGACCCACUUUUCUUGGCCCAGCAAGAAGACAGAGGACAAUUGUGACCUCAGAAUGACCCCUGCCCUUUGGCCACCCCCCCCCUUGCUCUCAAGAAGACAAUAAAGGUGACUUUUCUCAA